rnacentral:tRNA from 1 species
GCCCCGGUAGCUCAGCCCGGUCGGAGCGCCCUGGGGCGAAAGCCCCGUGCAAGCCUCGUAAGCGGGAGGUCCCGGUCGCGGGUUAACCGCGGGGAAGGUUCGAAUCCCGGCCGGGGCUCCA